rnacentral:lncRNA from 1 species
UGUGUAGCUACCAGCAAUGUACCUCCCUGCCUGAUUUGUUGUGGCCUCAGACUAACUUCCUUCCAGGCAUGGGCCUAUUUGCUGCUGGAUUCGACUGCAAAGCCCCAUUCCUCUUCCUCACCCUCACCCCCAAUUUGGUUUUCUGGCUCCACUCACUUACUGCUAAAUCAGCAUGACCAUCUUUUAUUGUAUUUAUUGUAACAGCCGUUUCUCAUGUUUAAACGGCUCCACCCAAUCCUAGAGGAACACCAGACCCACAUGAGACCUCUAUCAGCAGAACUGCUGGUGAAAAUGUGAGGAAUGUCUCUGUCCUUCCCUGACUCAUCAGACCUCAGGAUGACCUUCCUUCCUGACACAGCCCUCCUGCGCAAGUAACUCACCAUCUUCCUGUGCCCAGCUACCACCAGACACCUGCAGGUGAGCUCACUGCAAGCUUGGCGUCGUGGUGCUGCGCACAGCCCUCUUCAGCACACAGUGUCAGCACCGUCCUAUAAAAUCUCCAGCCAGCCUUUGUUUCUUUGCAGUCGGCAUCUCUCAUGCAGGCUGCCCUGUCUCCUUGCAACCUAUUUUUCUACUUUCUCCAAUAAAUCAGCCUUUUUCUGCCUA